UUUAAAAAGAAAAAAAGUUGGAUCAUCUCAAGCUCCUGUUAUGGGACUUCCCAAUCUUGAGAAAUCUUUCAAUUUGUAUGUGGACUUAAAGAAUAAUAUGGCUCUUGGAGUCCUGACUCAAGAAAAAGGGAAGU